rfam:Aedes albopictus isolate Foshan contig58140, whole genome shotgun sequence.
UGCCCAGCAACUCCUAUCCCUACCUCCACGCGGUACCGGCCGGAAACUAUGAGCAACCUUAGGGAAGAUCGGGUAACCAACCCCGGUGGGACCUUUGGUCGUAGGCUGACAGGGAA